UACGUAGGGUGCAAGCGUUAAUCGGAAUUACUGGGCGUAAAGCGUGCGCAGGCGGUUUUGUAAGUCUGUCGUGAAAUCCCCGGGCUCAACCUGGGAAUUGCGAUGGAGACUGCAAGGCUAGAAUCUGGCAGAGGGGGGUAGAAUCCACGUGUAGCAGUUGAAAUGCGUAGAGAUGUGGAGGAACACCGAUGGCGAAGGCAGCCCCCUGGGUCAAGAUUGACGCUCAUGCACGAAAGCGUGGGGAGCAAACAGGA
rnacentral:rRNA from 1 species